CUGCAGCCCGAGUGGUGAUCGAUUUUAUUGAGCCUAAAGCGUCCGUAGCCGGACUAGUAAACCCUUGGGUAAAUUGGGCAGCUUAACUGUCCAAAUUCCGAGAGGACUGCUAGUCUUGGGACCGGGAGAGGUCAGAGGUACUCAAGGGGUAGGGGCUAAAUCCUGUAAUCCUUUGGGGACCACCAGUGGCGAAGGCGUCUGACUAGAACGGAUCCGACGGUAAGGGACGAAACCCUGGGGCGCGAACCGGAUUAGAUACCCGAGUAGUCC
rnacentral:rRNA from 1 species